AGCAUUUUAUUUCAUCUCCAACUUUAGGUUUACAUCGGUACAUGAUUUCAGAGCGUGUACCCGGAUGAUGACAAUAGAAGAAGGAAAAAGGAGUAAUCAGCAACAGUAACACGGUAGCACUAGCAGCAGUAAUAUAACAGCAGCAACAACUCAAUCAAACUCAAGAAAACCCAGAAAAGUUUUAAACCAAACUACAAAAAACAAGUAACCAAUAGUAGUCAACCAAAACAGGUGUAAUUUGGACCAAAACAACUUCACAGACAAACCCAGGCAACCUCAACAGAAACACAAUGCAACCAGACCAUAACACUCAAAUGCAAACAGCUCCAAUAAGCUCUCUCAAACUGAUUUAACCAGAGAAAAACCACAAGACUGAUUCCAGGACGUCUUCCAAGACUGACCAAAACUCUCAAGUUUUUAACUCUCCAAACUCUU
rnacentral:lncRNA from 1 species